CAACAGGGAUUGCCCUAGUAACGGCGAGUGAAGCGGCAACAGCUCAAAUUUGAAAUCUGGCUCUUUCAGAGUCCGAGUUGUAAUUUGCAGAGGGCGCUUUGGUGUUGGCAGCGGUCCAAGUUCCUUGGAACAGGACGUCACAGAGGGUGAGAAUCCCGUACGUGGUCGCUAGCCUUCGCCGUGUAAAGCCCCUUCGACGAGUCGAGUUGUUUGGGAAUGCAGCUCUAAAUGGGAGGUAAAUUUCUUCUAAAGCUAAAUACUGGCCAGAGACCGAUAGCGCACAAGUAGAGUGAUCGAAAGAUGAAAAGCACUUUGGAAAGAGAGUCAAAUAGCACGUGAAAUUGUUGAAAGGGAAGCGCUUGCAGCCAGACUUGCCUGUAGUUGCUUAUCCGGACUUUUGUCCGGUGCACUCUUCUGCGGGCAGGCCAGCAUCAGUUUGGGCGGUUGGAUAAAGGUCUCUGUCAUGUACCUCUCUUCGGGGAGAACUUAUAGGGGAGACGACAUGCAACCAGCCUGGACUGAGGUCCGCGCAUCUGCUAGGAUGCUGGCGUAAUGGCUGUAAGCGGCCCGUCUUGAAACACGGACCAAGGAGUCUAACAUCUAUGCGAGUGUUUGGGUGUCAAGCCCAGACGCGUAAUGAAAGUGAACGGAGGUGGGAACCCUUUGGGUGCACCAUCGACCGAUCCUGAUGUCUUCGGAUGGAUUUGAGUAAGAGCAUGGCUGUUGGGACCCGAAAGAUGGUGAACUAUGCUUGAAUAGGGUGAAGCCAGAGGAAACUCUGGUGGAGGCUCGCAGCGGUUCUGACGUGCAAAUCGAUCGUCAAAUUUGGGCAUAGGGGCGAAAGACUAAUCGAAC
rnacentral:rRNA from 1 species